CACGAUCACAUUUUAUUACUGAUUAUGUAAAACUUUGAGAUAAUGGAAAAGGAGCUGGAUAUUUUCUCAGAGUCCAUGAACUGCCCUUGCAAAGGAGAGGCAUGACCUGCAGAGCUGCCCAACGUGGGGAAGGGAGAGCCAGAUUCUUCAGGAAACAGCAGCCCUGCGGCCUGGCCCUAGUGUUUGGGGGAACACAGAUAGGUCUCUCUCUGCCAAGGACAGGAGAAUCCCUGAGCAAAUUAGACUCUCCAGAAAGACACUUCAACAAGGUUUUUGGGUUUUUUUUUUUUUUUUUUUGGUUGUUGUUUUUUGGUUUUGGGGGGGGGUUCUGUUGGGUUUGUUUUGGUUUGUUU
rnacentral:lncRNA from 1 species